GACAGAGGCCUCAAGCGUUAGGCGGAAUCACUGGGCUUAAAGCGUGUGUAGGCGGAUCGUUAAGUGUCUUGUGAAAUCCCACGGCUCACCCGUGGAACUGCUGGGCAUACUGGCGAUCUUGGGCCAACUAGGGGCAACUGGGACAAGCGGUGGAGCGGUGAAAUGCGUAGAUAUCGCUUGGAACGCCGAAGGUGAAAACAGGUUGCUGGGGUUGUGCCGACGCUGAGACACGAAAGCCAGGGGAGCAAACGGG
rnacentral:rRNA from 1 species